rnacentral:tRNA from 2 species
GCGGCGGUGGAGGAAUGGCAGACUCGGCGGCCUCAAAAGCCGCUGCCCGCAAGGGCGUGUGGGUUCGAAUCCCACCCGCCGCA